UAAGGAAUAUUGGUCAAUGGAGGCAACUCUGAACCAGCCAUGCCGCGUGCAGGAAGACUGCCCUAUGGGUUGUAAACUGCUUUUAUCCGGGAAUAAACCUUUCUACGUGUAGGAAGCUGAAUGUACCGGAAGAAUAAGGAUCGGCUAACUCCGUGCCAGCAGCCGCGGUAAUACGGAGGAUCCAAGCGUUAUCCGGAUUUAUUGGGUUUAAAGGGUGCGUAGGCGGCCUGUUAAGUCAGGGGUGAAAGACGGUAGCUCAACUAUCGCAGUGCCCUUGAUACUGAUGGGCUUGAAUGGACUAGAGGUAGGCGGAAUGAGACAAGUAGCGGUGAAAUGCAUAGAUAUGUCUCAGAACACCGAUUGCGAAGGCAGCUUACUAUGGUCUUAUUGACGCUGAGGCACGAAAGCGUGGGGAUCAAACAG
rnacentral:rRNA from 1 species